AUGACCUUGCAGGGACAGCAGCCCUGGGCCUCCCCACAGACAUUAGCUGAUAUAAUGGGCUAGACUGGACAUGCCAUCCUGGGAACGUAGGAGUUUUGCUGCGCUUGGGUUUGCUGUUUGAACGUUCUCGGCAGGGACUCUGUCUAUGGAGCUUCUUCCCCGAGGAUGUCCACUGGGGUCUCUCGGUGGCUGGCAUCCCCAGCUGGGUACAUCAGGCCUUUCUCUUCAGGUCACUUUGUCACUGAGCACGGCAGCCUUCCUUCAACUUGUUUUUUUUCCUUGCCUGGUAGUGUCCGCUUUGAUGGCAGGAGCGAACCCCAGCUCUGCAGCCCAGGUGGGCUGAGUGCUCCUGUGUUACACACCACCCAGAGAUGCUGCCAAGAGAUGGGGAAAGAUUACCAGGGAUCACAGAGGAAGCAAGAGCCUUUCAUGGGAGAUUUCCCCACUGAAAGCUUUGAACCUGGUUCACAGAAUAGCCUUGUGAAGGAACACUUGGAACCAAGGAUCUAGAAGCAUGCAAGUGCCCAAUACCCAUAGGUAUCAUCUUAAAAUUGCUAAGAAGCAGCUCUGAACAUUCAAGCCAUGCACUGUGAUAUGUUGAAUGAUAAACCUUCUGUUUUCAUAUACUAUUAUCAGCUAUUAUCAGCUAGCUAUUAUCACUAGCUGUUGUUCUUCAUUACAUUUCACUAAAAAUAAAAAUUAGA